rnacentral:rRNA from 1 species
GACGAACGCUGGCGGCGUGCCUAAUACAUGCAAGUAGAACGCUGAAGGAGGAGCUUGCUUCUCCGGAUGAGUUGCGAACGGGUGAGUAACGCGUAGGUAACCUGCCUGGUAGCGGGGGAUAACUAUUGGAAACGAUAGCUAAUACCGCAUAAGAGUAGAUGUCGCAUGACAUUUGCUUAAAAGGUGCAACUGCACCACUACCAGAUGGACCUGCGUUGUAUUAGCUAGUUGGUGAGGUAACGGCUCACCAAGGCAACGACACAUAGCCGACCUGAGAGGGUGAUCGGCCACACUGGGACUGAGACACGGCCCAGACUCCUACGGGAGGCAGCAGUAGGGAAUCUUCGGCAAUGGACGGAAGUCUGACCGAGCAACGCCGCGUGAGUGAAGAAGGUUUUCGGAUCGUAAAGCUCUGUUGUAAGAGAAGAACGAGUGUGAGAGUGGAAAGUUCACACUGUGACGGUAUCUUACCAGAAAGGGACGGCUAACUACGUG